UUCAAUAGGUGGGUGCGAUGGGUCCCUGAACCUCUGUAGGGUUUAGUUCUUACCCUCUGGAGAAUUUAUCUUUCCAAGGUAUUCAAAGUACUUGUCAUAGUGGAUCAAUAUUCUUCAGAAUGUCCAGCCGAUCCGGAUCUUUCAGACUAUAUUAUGACAGAGUGCAAGAGAAUCAAUAUAUCCUUCAGACUAGAUCGUGAUUGUAUAAUGUUGUCCCUCCCAUUUGAAGGCUAACUGCUACCCUUCCUCUUUCCUUAUAGAAAAGAAUGCACCAUGAGAUGGACCAGAGCUAUCAGUCCCAUAAAGGCAGGAAUCAACACUAACUCAGACCUGUAACCAACAGCCUGUGAUCAAGCUGGAAUCCAUUCUUAAGAGACUUGAUCUUCAAUCACUAGGCGUCUCAGAACUGGCUCCAGUUUGGAACUUGGGCAACUGAUCAUGAGUUUCAACUGGGACCUCAGGUGACUGGAAACUCUGUGACAGCCUGUGGGUUCACCCUGGACACCUGGCACUCAGAAGAUAGUGGAUGUUUAUUGAAGGAGUCAAUGAGUUCCGUUUAUGAAAUUGUAAUUUUGUUCCCUGUUACUGGCCAUUAGGCAAUUGGUUUGCUUUUGAAUUACUAUUACCAAAGUAUCAAAUGUAUAUCUACAUCUACAUCUAUAUCUAUAUACUCCUGUUUAUAGCAGCAUUAUUUGCAAUAGCCAAAAGGUGGAAGUGACCCACCAGUGUCGACCCACCAGUGAACACCACUGACAGAUGAAUGAUAAAAUUACGGUUAUACAAACAAUGGAAUAUCAUCAACCUGAAAGGGAAAGACCAUGUGACAUGUCCUUGGAUAACCUUGAGCACAUUUGGAUGGGCCAAAUAGGGCAAAUAUCGUCCUAUUCCACCUGAUACGAGGCACUGAUAUUCAUAGAGACAGCGAGGGGGAGUGAAGAAUGGGGAUUUGGUGUUUCAGUUUCAGUUUGGGAAGAUGAGAAAGUUCUGGAGACGGAUGAUGGUGAUGGUUGCACCGUAACGUGAACGUGUUUAAUGCCACUGAACAUCACACUUAAAAAUGGUUGAGAUGGUUAAAUUUUGCGUUAUGUGUAUUUUACCAUAGUUCUAAAAACUA